CCCUUAGAUGUUCUGGGCCGCACGCGCGCUACACUGUUCGACGCAGCGAGUCUUAACCUUGACCGAAAGGUUUGGGUAAUCUUCAGCAAAGUCGAACGUGAUGGGGAUCGAUCAUUGCAAUUAUUGAUCGCGAACGAGGAAUUCCUAGUAAGUGCAAGUCAUCAGCUUGCGCUGAUUACGUCCCUGCCCUUUGUACACACCGCCCGUCGCUACUACCGAUUGAAUGGUUUAGUGAGAUCUCUGGAUUGACGCUGGCUAGGGGGCGACCCUUGGCCAGACUGUUGAGAAACUGCUCAAACUUGAUCAUUUAGAGGAAGUAAAAGUCGUAACA
rnacentral:rRNA from 1 species